rnacentral:misc_RNA from 1 species
AAUUCUCAACCUCGAGUUUUGAUUCGAGGAUUGGACUUUGGAGUGUGCUGGCGUGUCGCGUCGGCUCCUCUCAAAAGCAUCAGCGGAAAAUCUAACCUUUGGCUUUUCGAAUGUCAGUGUGAUAAUUGUGUUGCGCUGUCUUCAAAGUCGAAGUUUCGCUUACAGUGGUCUUUGGACAACUCUUAUCAA